rnacentral:misc_RNA from 1 species
GAAAUGCGAUAAGUAGUGUGAAUUUCAGAAUUCAGUGAAUCAUCGAAUCUUUGAACGCACAUUGCGCCCUUUGGUAUUCCAAAGGGCAUGCCUGUUCGAGCGUCAUUUGUACCCUCAAGCUUUGCUUGGUGUUGGGCGUCUUGUCUCUAGCUUUGCUGGAGACUCGCCUUAAAGUAAUUGGCAGCCGGCCUACUGGUUUCGGAGCGCAGCACAAGUCGCACUCUCUAUCAGCAAAGGUCUAGCAUCCAUUAAGCCUUUUUUUCAACUUUUGACCUCGGAUCAGGUAGGGAUACCCGCUGAACUUAAGC